GACGAACGCUGGCGGCGUGCCUAAUACAUGCAAGUAGAACGCUGAAGGAGGAGCUUGCUUCUCUGGAUGAGUUGCGAACGGGUGGGUAACGCGUAGGUAACCUGCCUGGUAGUGGGGGAUAACUAUUGGAAACGAUAGCUAAUACCGCAUAAUAGCAGUUGUUGCAUGAUAACGGUUGGAAAGGUGCAAUUGCACCGCUACCAGAGGGACCUGCGUUGUAUUAGCUAGUUGGUGGGGUAACGGCUCACCAAGGCGACGAUACAUAGCCGACCGGAGAGGGGGGUCGGCCACACUGGGACUGAGACACGGCCCAGACUCCUACGGGAGGCAGCAGUAGGGAAUCUUCGGCAAUGGACGGGAGUCUGACCGAGCAACGCCGCGUGAGUGAAGGAGGUUGUCCGAUCGUAAAGCUCUGUUGUAAGAGAAGAACGAGGGUGAGAGUGGAAAGUUCACACUGUGACGGUAGCUUAACAGAAAGGGACGGCUAACUACGUG
rnacentral:rRNA from 1 species